rnacentral:tRNA from 1 species
GCCGGAGUGGCGGAAUUGGCAGACGCGCUGGAUUCAAAAUCCAGUUCUCGCAAGGGAGUGUGGGUUCGAUUCCCACCUCCGGCAC